rnacentral:tRNA from 2 species
GCCGGUGUAGCUCAGCAGGUAGAGCAGCUGACUUGUAAUCAGCAGGUCCCCGGUUCGAGUCCGGGUGCCGGCUCCA